UACGGGGGGGGCAGGCGUUGUUCGGAAUUACUGGGCGUAAAGGGCUCGUAGGCGGCCAACUAAGUCAGACGUGAAAUCCCUCGGCUUAACCGGGGAACUGCAUCUGAUACUGGAUGGCUUGAGAUUGGGAGAGGGAUGCGGAAUUCCAGGUGUAGCGGUGAAAUGCGUAGAUAUCUGGAGGAAUACCGGUGGCGAAGGCGGCAUCCUGGACCGACAUUGACGCUGAACGGCGAAAGCUAGGGGAGCAAACGGG
rnacentral:rRNA from 1 species